rnacentral:rRNA from 1 species
AGGCUUAACACAUGCAAGUCGAGCGGAUGAAGGUAGCUUGCUACUGGAUUCAGCGGCGGACGGGUGAGUAAUGCUUAGGAAUCUGCCUAUUAGUGGGGGACAACGUUCCGAAAGGGGCGCUAAUACCGCAUACGUCCUACGGGAGAAAGCAGGGGACCUUCGGGCCUUGCGCUAAUAGAUGAGCCUAAGUCGGAUUAGCUAGUUGGUAGGGUAAAGGCCUACCAAGGCGACGAUCUGUAGCGGGUCUGAGAGGAUGAUCCGCCACACUGGGACUGAGACACGGCCCAGACUCCUACGGGAGGCAGCAGUGGGGAAUAUUGGACAAUGGGGGGAACCCUGAUCCAGCCAUGCCGCGUGUGUGAAGAAGGCCUUUUGGUUGUAAAGCACUUUAAGCGAGGAGGAGGCUACCUAGAUUAAUACUUUAGGAUAGUGGACGUUACUCGCAGAAUAAGCACCGGCUAACUNUGUGCCAGCAGCCGCGGUAAU